rnacentral:rRNA from 1 species
GAUGAACGCUGGCGGCGUGCCUAAUACAUGCAAGUCGAGCGGUAAGGCCCUUCGGGGUACACGAGCGGCGGACGGCUGAGUAACACGUAGGAACGUACCCCAAACUGAGGGAUAAGCACCAGAAAUGGUGUCUAAUACCGCAUGUGGCCUUCGGGCUAUAGCUCCGGCGGUUUGGGAACGGCCUGCGUCCGAUUAGCAAGUUGGUAGUGUAAUGGACUACCAAGGCGACGAUCGGUAGCUGGUCUGAGAGGAUGAUCAGCCAGACUGGGACUGAGACACGGCCCAGACUACUACGGGAGGCAGCAGUAGGGAAUUUUCCACAAUGGGGGCAACCCUGAUGGAGCAACGCCGCGUGCAGGAUGAAGGCCUUCGGGUUGUAAACUGCUUUUAUCUGUGACGAUUAUGACGGUAGCAGAUGAAUAAGGACCUGCUAACUACGUGCCAGCAGCCGCCGUAA